rnacentral:rRNA from 1 species
AACGAACGCUGGCGGCAUGCCUAACACAUGCAAGUCGAACGAACCCUUCGGGGUUAGUGGCGCACGGGUGCGUAACGCGUGGGAAUCUGCCCUUUGCUUCGGAAUAACUCAGGGAAACUUGUGCUAAUACCGGAUGAUGUCUUCGGACCAAAGAUUUAUCGGCAAGGGAUGAGCCCGCGUAGGAUUAGGUAGUUGGUGGGGUAAAGGCCUACCAAGCCGACGAUCCUUAGCUGGUCUGAGAGGAUGAUCAGCCACACUGGGACUGAGACACGGCCCAGACUCCUACGGGAAGCAGCAGUGGGGAAUAUUGGACAAUGGGCGCAAGCCUGAUCCAGCAAUGCCGCGUGAGUGAUGAAGGCCAUCGGGUCGUAAAGCUCUUUUACCAGGGAUGAUAAUGACAGUACCUGGAGAAUAAGCUCCGGCUAACUCCGUG